GAUGAACGCUGGCGGCGUGCUUAAUACAUGCAAGUCGAACGGAAGUAAGUAGCAAUAUUUACUUUAGUGGCGAACGGGUGAGUAACGCGUUGGUGACCUGCCCCAGAGAGUGGGAUAACAGUUCGAAAGGACUGCUAAUACCGCAUGCCGUUGUGGUAGUUAGAGAGCUACAACGAAAGGUGCAAACCGCUCUGGGAGGGGCCUGCGUCCCAUCAGCUAGUUGGUAGGGUAAAGGCCUACCAAGGCGACGACGGGUAGGGGACCUGAGAGGGUGACCCCCCACACUGGCACUGAAACACGGGCCAGACACCUACGGGUGGCUG
rnacentral:rRNA from 1 species